UUCGUCCUACGGGAGGCAGCAGUAGGGAAUUUUCGUCAAUGGGCGCAAGCCUGAACGAGCAAUGCCGCGUGAACGAGGAAGGUCUUCGGAUCGUAAAGUUCUGUUGAAGGGGAAAAAGAGCGGAGAGAGGAAAUGAACUCCGAUUGAUAUUACCUUUCGAGGAAGUCACGGCUAACUACGUGCCAGCAGCCGCGGUAAUACGUAGGUGGCGGGCGUUAUCCGGAAUGAUUGGGCGUAAAGGGUGCGUAGGCGGCCUGCUAAGUCUGGAGUGA
rnacentral:rRNA from 1 species